rnacentral:lncRNA from 1 species
AGAAAAAUAUGUUUUCUUUCAUCUUUUUUCAACAGAUUGAGUUCCAAUACAACCAACCAUUCCAUCCUCUUCCUCGGCUUAAGUAUUUGUUUGGUUGGCUGGAAUGAAUGACAAAGGAAUUGAAUAGACGAAAUAAGCAAAGUAAUGAAAUGAAUGAGUCAUUAUAUUCUAUGAUCAGUUUGCUUGUUGGCCUAUACAAGUGGAAUGAAAUGUCAUCUGAACUUUUAUGUCAUAUGUAGAUAUAAUGUAUAUUUUCAAAUUCUAUUGUAACAAUAAGCGGUUAAAGCAAAAGGCAUAGAUAUAGAAAACGGAAUAUGUAUGCAUGCAAGCUAUAUGAAACUUCAACAAAACUGAGAUAGAAUGCACAGGGCUUGAGACAGAAAAUAAAAUAUAACAGAAACAUAUCAAAAGGCAAUAAUUGUUUUUUCUUUCUUCAUUUGUUUUAGGACUACACCAUAUAGCGUUACACCAUCAUAUUUGGGGUUAACCAACUAGACUAACAUAAAGAAAGUAUAGAGUGUACCACAACAUCAUCAUUUUCAUCAUAACUAGUAGAGCCAACAUUUACAACUGCUGCAUCAUCCGGCUUAUCCACCUGCAGUUGUUCCUUCUUCCCCCCUGUACACAUUAUAACAUAAAAACCUCCUUAGUGCUAAUUGCAUAAUAUAAUAGAGGUAGCUAGAAAAACAUUUUAUGAAACCACUCUAUGAUUUUAACAUGAUGAACGUAAAACAUGGAAAAGCCCAAAAGUAACAUUUUAUACAAGAUGAUAAUCUAUUAUAACUGAUAAACCAACACUAAAAAACGGUGAUAGAAAGUGUAAGCUCUACCGUAA